GCGAGAGUAGCUCAGUUGGUAGAGCGCAACCUUGCCAAGGUUGAGGUCGCGGGUUCGAGCCUCGUCUCUCGCU
rnacentral:tRNA from 1 species